rnacentral:piRNA from 1 species
UCUUGAAUUGUUCUGCCUUCUUUCCUGCAG